UACGAAGGGUGCAAGCGUUAUUCGGAAUUACUGGGCGUAAAGCGUGCGUAGGUGGUUUGUUAAGUCUGAUGUGAAAGCCCUGGGCUCAACCUGGGAACGGCAUUGGAAACUGGCUUACUAGAGUGCGGUAGAGGGGUGUGGAAUUCCCGGUGUAGCAGUGAAAUGCGUAGAUAUCGGGAGGAACAUCUGUGGCGAAGGCGACACCCUGGACCAGCACUGACACUGAGGCACGAAAGCGUGGGGAGCAAACAGG
rnacentral:rRNA from 1 species